rnacentral:rRNA from 1 species
UACAGAGGUCUCAAGCGUUGUUCGGAUUCAUUGGGCGUAAGGGUGCGUAGGCGGCGCGGUAAGUCGGAUGUGAAAUCUUGGAGCUUAACUCCGAAACUGCAUUCGAUACUGCCGUGCUUGAGGACUGGAGAGGAGACUGGAAUUUACGGUGUAGCGGUGAAAUGCGUAGAUAUCGUAAGGAAGACCAGUGGCGAAGGCGGGUCUCUGGACAGUUCCUGACGCUGAGGCACGAAGGCCAGGGGAGCAAACGGG